UACGGAGGGUGCGAGCGUUGUCCGGAAUCACUGGGCGUAAAGGGCGCGUAGGCGGUUCUUCAAGCGUGUGGUGAAAGUCCGGGGCUCAACCCCGGAUCGGCCGUGCGAACUGGGGGACUUGAGCACUGUAGAGGCAGGUGGAAUUCCGGGAGUAGCGGUGGAAUGCGUAGAGAUCCGGAAGAACACCAGGGGCGAAGGCGGCCUGCUGGGCAGUGGCUGACGCUGAGGCGCGACAGCGUGGGGAGCAAACAGG
rnacentral:rRNA from 1 species